rnacentral:snRNA from 1 species
AAAUUUGCUUGUACCAGGCGGCA